AUUGAACACUGGCGGCAUGCCUUACACAUGCAAGUCGAACGCGAAAGGGGGCAACCCUGAGUAGAGUGGCGAACGGGUGAGUAAUGUAUCGGAACGUACCCAGUAGUGGGGGAUAGCCCGGCGAAAGCCGGAUUAAUACCGCAUACGACCUACGGGUGAAAGCGGGGGGAUCGCAAGACCUCGCGCUAUUGGAGCGGCCGAUAUCGGAUUAGCUAGGUUGGUGGGGGUAAAAAGCCUACCAAGGCUACGAUCCGUAGCAGGUUUGAGAGAACGACCUGCCACACUGGACUGAGACACGGCCCAGACUCCUACGGAGGCAGCAGU
rnacentral:rRNA from 1 species